GAUGAACGCUGACAGAAUGCUUAACACAUGCAAGUCUACUUGAAUUUGGGUUUUUAACUUAGGUUUGGGUGGCGGACGGGUGAGUAACGCGUAAAGAACUUGCCUCACAGCUAGGGACAACAUUUAGAAAUGAAUGCUAAUACCUAAUAUUAUGAUAAUAGGGCAUCCUAUAAUUAUGAAAGCUAUAUGCGCUGUGAGAGAGCUUUGCGUCCCAUUAACUAGUUGGAGAGGUAACGGCUCACCAAGGCGAUGAUGGGUAGCCGGCCUGAGAGGGUGAUCGGCCACAAGGGGACUGAGACACGGCCCUUACUCCUACGGGAGGCAGCAGUGGGGAAUAUUGGACAAUGGACCGAGAGUCUGAUCCAGCAAUUCUGUGUGCACGAUGAAGUUUUUCGGAAUGUAAAGUGCUUUCAGUUGGGAAGAAAGAAAUGACGGUACCAACAGAAGAAGUGACGGCUAAAUACGUGCCAGCAGCCGCGGUAAUACGUAUGUCACGAGCGUUAUCCGGAUUUAUUGGGCGUAAAGCGCGUCUAGGUGGUUAUAUAAGUCUGAUGUGAAAAUGCAGGGCUCAACUCUGUAUUGCGUUGGAAACUGUAUAACUAGAGUACUGGAGAGGUAAGCGGAACUACAAGUGUAGAGGUGAAAUUCGUAGAUAUUUGUAGGAAUGCCGAUGGGGAAGCCAGCUUACUGGACAGAUACUGACGCUGAAGCGCGAAAGCGUGGGUAGCAAACAGG
rnacentral:rRNA from 1 species